UUCAGACGAAGUACGCCAUCACGACGUCGACGCCGUGGUAUUUGGCUACGAGAUAGGCCAAGUGC
rnacentral:tRNA from 1 species